rnacentral:rRNA from 1 species
GACGAACGCUGGCGGCGCGCUUAACACAUGCAAGUCGAACGGAAAGGCCUGCUUUCCCUUGUGGAUUGCGGGUACUCGCGUGGCGAACGGGUGAGUAACACGUGAGUGAUCUGCCCCCAACUUGGGUAUAAGCCUGGGAAACUGGGUCUAAUUCCCGAUAGGACUGCAGGGUGGUGCCUGUGGUGGAAAACGAUUUUCUAGUGGUUGGGGAUGAGCUCGCGGCCUAUCAGCUUGUUGGUGGGGUAAUGGCCUACCAAGGCGGCGACGGGUAGCCGGCCUGAGAGGGUGGACGGCCACAUUGGGACUGAGAUACGGCCCAGACUCCUACGGGAGGCAGCAGUGGGGAAUAUUCCACAAUGGGCGGAAGCCUGAUGCAGCGACGCCGCGUGGGGGAUGACGGCCUUCGGGUUGUAAACUCCUUUCGACCGCGAGGAAGCCACCUGGUUGGAAGGGUGGUGACGGUAGUGGUAGAAGAAGCACCGGCUAACUACGUG